GAUGAACGCUGGCGGCGUGCCUAACACAUGCAAGUUGAGCGAUCUUCUUCGGAAGAGAGCGGCGGACGGGUGAGUAACGCGUGGGUAACCUACCCUGUACACACGGGUAACAUACCGAAAGGUAUGCUAAUACGAGAUAAUAUAUUUCAUUCGCAUGUUUGAAAUAUCAAAGCUCCGGCGGUACAGGAUGGACCCGCGUCUGAUUAGCUAGUUGGUGAGGUAACGGCUCACCAAGGCAACGAUCGGUAGCCGGACUGAGAGGUUGAUCGGCCACAUUGGGACUGAGACACGGCCCAG
rnacentral:rRNA from 1 species